CCCACCACCAUCCCGCGCCGCAUUCGUUGUUCGCACAGCACUCGGCUCCGCACGACCACCAAAUCCCUCCCCUCUCCUGGCUUCGAUGCCACCAACCACCCUCCCCUCCCCUCUGCGGUCCCACCCUAUCGCCGUCCCUUUCUAUUCCCUCCCCCAACCCCUGCGAAUCCGAACUCCCACGAUUUGUGUGAGCACCGACGACCACCCCUCUCCUCUCCCAGCUCUGAUGCCA
rnacentral:lncRNA from 1 species